rnacentral:tRNA from 1 species
CGGUGAUUAGCGCAUCUUGGUAGCGCAUCUCCAUGUUUUGGGUAAAAGUUGGACCAGAAGUGUUUUUAGGUUCGAAUCCUCUAUCACCGACCA